AGAUGCUUAUCAACCUUAAUCAUCAACCCAAAGCAGUCCCUUUGGCUUCCAUGUGUGUGUAAGAACGAAAUGGAAUUUGCCCUCCUGCACCUGACUUAUUUCAUUAGUAUAAUGUCCUUCAGCUUAACCCUGUCUCUGAUCACAGAGAUGUAGGGAGUAGAAAGGUGGUCACUGGAACUUGGGAAGGGGUGGAAGCAGGGGAAGACAGAGGGAGGGUUGUUUGUGGUAGAAGGGUACAGGUGGAUAGGACCAAUGGCCUCUAAUAUUCAGCACCUCAGUAGGAGGAGGAUGGCUGGUAAUAACUGAUUUCAUAUUACAGAUAGCUAGUGCAGAAGGAAUUUCAAUAUUCCUAACAGAAAGCAAUGAUAAAUGUCUGAGAGCAGGGUCAAUUACCCUGACCUGAUCCCUACACACUAUACACAUCUAUGCAGUGCCACACGGCAGCCCGUUAAGUAUGCUCAAUUACUGCGUGCCAACUGAGAAUCAAAACAUAUUUGAAAAUAGCUGAUUUGGGUAAUUUGUUGGAUUGUUCUGAAAUAGCAAAUGAUGUAUUCAAAACUGCUCUUCAGAGAGCGAGCCGUGCUAAAACAGUUUUAGGAAUAAGCCUUUUCUAAAGUGAUGGUUCCGAGGAGUCACUGUAUGUAUCUCAGAGUCAGUUCCUGGCAGUCGUGGCCCACAUUGCUUCCUUACAUGAAGCUGGAUGCUUAGUGAGUGCUUUUGCUAAGUGAUUUCUUUCCUCUGGAUCGUCAAUGGAUGGUUUCAGUCGGUCCUCUAGACUUCUCUUUCUUCAGUUUUGAAAAUUGAUGGCUAAUGAUGAAAUGAAUUGCUGUCAGAGUAGUUCAAACAUGGUACUCAAUGGAAACAAGUUGGUGUUGGGGACUGGAGAGCUGGAUCAGCAGUUGUAAGGGCAUACUGCUCUUACAGAGGACUUGAGUUCUGGUCACCCAUCCCCCUUGGCUCACAACAGCCUUUAUGUCCAGCUCUAGGAAUCUGACACAAUCUUCUAACCUCUGCACAUAUGCAGAACUUAUCCUACGUGGUGUAGGAUAAUGAUGGCUGAUAACAAUGAAUUCUAUGUUCAAACUAACUAGGACAGGGUACCUUUAAAUUAAAAAUAAAAUAAAUCUUUAAAAAUGAAACGGCAUAUUAGGGCCAUGGACACAGCCAAUGGCAGACUUCAUGUCUUACAUGUGUAGGGUCCCAGGUUCAAGACCAGCAUUGUUACAAGAAAGACCAAGGAAACAAGCAAAUCUCAGCACAGACUAUAGAAUUUCACUUUUGCAAAAGCGAUAUACAGAUACUCAUAGACUUCAUUCGACCAUUUAUGUUAUACAUUAGUAGACUGAAAUUAUUUUAAAUAAAAUAGCAAGGCUUGAUAGGAAAUAAUAAAAAACAAAAAAACAGCCAUGCCCAACCAGGUAAAAAUAUUUUCAAUCCCAAAGAACAGCUCAGAUCGUUUGCAGAGAGGAUAGAUAUUCUCCAAGUGCCAGACUCGGCAGGAGAAUUUGAUUGAUUUGCAUCUUAGUUCAGACCUAAAAGGACCUUGUUGGUGCUGUUGUUUCUAAUGCUCUGUUUCUAAGGCUCAGACUGCCUCCAGCUGUCUUCCUGUUCUUUUCUAAAAGUCCCUGGUUUUUUAUGAGCCUGUCCUCCAGACUCUCCUUUUCCGCUUUGCUAACAAUAACGGCUCAACUUCCGGACACAUUUCCACCAGCGAUUUCUUAGCCCCUGCUUCUGAAUAGUUUUGCCAGUGAACCCGAUUCUUUCCUUCUUCUGCUUCUGGUCUUCAUCUACAGGGUCCAGAGUCUCAAGCUCUGUGUCAGCUUCAGGUUGCAGGUUCGCUGCCUGCCUUUGCAGGACAAAUGCUCGUCUGGAUUGACAACGUUGUCCCUGUUUGCCCACAGCGGCCACUGGCUGUGAUGUGUCCUGGCACCCUCCUGCAGUGGCCUGCCACUUGGAACACUGGACCUUGGCAUGCCUCUGUGCUCUGGCCCUUUUGGAGAUUGUCCCUCAAGGGCUUCAUAAGAAAUUGGUAACUGUGUUUACUUGGUGGCUGGGAAGAAAGUCUUUAAUAUCUCAAUUAAAAAAAAACUCAUAAU
rnacentral:lncRNA from 1 species